rnacentral:rRNA from 1 species
GAUGAACGCUGGCGGCGUGCCUAACACAUGCAAGUCGAACGAACAGACUAGGAGCUUGCGCCUCUGACGUAAGCUGCGGACGGGGGAGUAACACGUGGAUUACCCACCUAUAAAACUGGGAUAACUUCGGGAAACCGGAGAUAAUACUGCAUAAUAUAUUGAACCGCAUGAGUCAAUAGUGAUAGACGGUGUUCCUGUCUCUUAUAGACGGAUCCGCGCCGCUUUCUCUGGUUGGUAAGGUAACGGCUUACCAAGGCAACGAUGCGUAGCCGACCUGAGAGGGUGCUAGGCCACACUGGAAGUGAGACAGCGUCCAGACUCCUACGGGAGGCAACAGUCGGGAACCUUCAGCAAUGGGCGCAAGCCUGCCGCAGCACCGCCGCGUGAGUCAUGAAGGUGUUCGGAUCGUAAAACUCUGUUAUUGGGGAAGAACAAAUGUCUCAGUAGAUAUGCCCGUCUUGACGGUACCUAAUCAAAAAGCCACGGCUAACUACGUG